rnacentral:tRNA from 1 species
GGGGAUGUAGCUCAGCGGUUAGAGCGUGUCCUUUGUAAGGGCAAGGUCAUGAGUUCAAAUCUCGUCGUCCCCC